rnacentral:lncRNA from 1 species
GGUGCUAUUUUGAUUUAAAGACCCGAAUCAAAUGGCUUAAAAUCAAUCAAUUUAUAUUCGUUAUGUAUUUGAUUACCAAUAUAUUUGCAAACGCUAUCCAACACUUGACAAAACCGAACGUUUAGUUUACGGAAUUGGUACUACAAAACCAUAGAUUGUCUUUAAUGGCUUGUAAAAGUACCAAAGUAGUCUCAUCCUCACAAUCUUACUAUUGAUAAUGUAUCAUUAGAAGAAUAUGUUAGAAAAGGUCUAUCAUAAAGAGGACAACACUUUUAAUGUCAUAAUUCUUCAAUUACAAAUUGUUGUAUGAAGAAAUAGGAGUUGCUUUGAACAACUCUUAGUCAAUGCAAACACUUAGUGCUUGUUUCUUUGUUAAAUGAACAAAGAACUUGAGAAGAAAGCACAAAGGCAUGAACACUUAAAUGUGCCAUGAUUCUUCAUUUACAAUUGUUGUAUGAAGAAAUGAGAGUUGCCUUGUACAACUCUUGAAGGUU